ensembl:snRNA U6 U6 spliceosomal RNA
AUGCUUGCUUUGGCAGCAUAUAUAUUCUAAAAUCAGAACUCUACAGAGAUUAACAUGGCCCCUGCUUGAGGGUAACAUGCAAACUCAUUAAGCAUUCCAUAUUUUU